AAUGUAAAGAAUGUGAUUGCACGAGUUUGCAACAUAAAGUGAUGUAAAGAACACUAGAGCUAGUGUAAAGUCAAGAUUGAACUUAUAAAUCCUUUGAGUUAAGGAUAUGAUCAUACUUGCUAUGAGUUCCGUGCUCGAGGGCGGUCGCUCCCCCUCGGGCGAUGCGCUCCGGAGUUAUGCAUCCGGGUUGGAGUAAACCCGAAAGGACGGUCCUAGCUGGUGAGUUCCUGCGAUGAUGGACUUAAUGUGAAGCAAGUUAAAGUGGCGAAACCCCCGGGCUAGCCUUAAUGAUUAAAGAACAAAGAGUAAAGAACAAAGUGUAAAGUGCAAAGAACUAAAGAACAUGCAUAACCUGCAUUUAUUUAAUGUUGAGCAUAUUUCUUGCUAUUUGUUCAGGCAUAUUAGCAUCGUGUUAUAGAUUGGUUACUAUAUCUCACUUAUCCUUUCUAUUAUGCCUGAGUUAGUCCUAGUGGGAAAGUCGGUGAUGUUGGGGCCGAACCCACUGGGAACUUUGUUGUAGUUCUCACCCCACUAUUUCCACAGAGCCGGGACCGAGCGAGCCGGCGAGCGACCGCGGUAA
rnacentral:lncRNA from 1 species